CGACGCCGGUGUUGAUGGGCAGAGACUGCUCUGGGUUGGUACCCCAGGUAAUCCGUGGUUCGACCUCACAGGCGUCGA
rnacentral:tRNA from 1 species